GAUGAACGCUGGCGGCGUGCCUAAUACAUGCAAGUCGAGCGAACCACUUCGGUGGAGAGCGGCGAACGGGUGAGUAACACGUAGGUCAUCUACCCAUUAGACGGGGAUAACGUUUGGAAACGAACGCUAAUACCGGAUAGGAAGAAAUUUUAAAGGUGCUUUCGGGCAUCGCUAAUGGAUGAGUCUGCGGCGCAUUAGCUAGUUGGUAAGGUAAGAGCUUACCAAGGCGACGAUGCGUAGCCGACCUGAGAGGGUGAGCGGCCACACUGGGACUGAGACACGGCCCAGACUCCUACGGGAGGCAGCAGUAGGGAAUCUUCGGCAAUGGACGAAAGUCUGACCGAGCAACGCCGCGUGAAUGAAGAAGGCCUUCGGGUUGUAAAAUUCUGUUAUAAGGGAAGAAAGACUAUAGUAGGAAAUGGCUAUAGAGUGACGGUACCUUAUGAGAAAGCCACGGCUAACUACGUGCCAGCCGCCGCGGUAA
rnacentral:rRNA from 1 species